AAAAGCUUAGCUACUCGUAAUUCUUAUGAUAAACAAAAUAAAAAUAAAAGAAAUAAGAAAAACUAUGCUUGAGUCUUCGUUGAUCUUCGUUCUUCGUAUUUUGUGGUGUAAAAUUUCGUGCUUAUGGUGUAGAGACAUGUUGCUUUUAUAGGCUUUUCUUGAUAAGGAAGUAGUAGAAACCUAAUAGGAAUCAAUUUCCGCCACUUUCCCCC
rnacentral:lncRNA from 1 species